GGCUUAAACUCAAAGGAAUUGACGGGGACCCGCACAAGCGGUGGAUGAUGUGGUUUAAUUCGAUGCAACGCGAAAAACCUUACCUACCCUUGACAUGCCAGGAACUUGCCAGAGAUGGCUCGGUGCUCGAAAGAGAACCUGGACACAGGUGCUGCAUGGCUGUCGUCAGCUCGUGUCGUGAGAUGUUGGGUUAAGUCCCGCAACGAGCGCAACCCUUGUCAUUAGUUGCUACGCAAGAGCACUCUAAUGAGACCGCCGGUGACAAACCGGAGGAAGGUGGGGAUGACGUCAAGUCCUCAUGGCCCUUAUGGGUAGGGCUACACACGUCAUACAAUGGGCGGUACAGAGGGUCGCCAACCCGCGAGGGGGAGCCAAUCCCUUAAAACCGCUCGUAGUCCGGAUUGUAGUCUGCAACUCGACUGCAUGAAGUCGGAAUCGCUAAUAAUCGCGGAUCAGCUUGCCGCGGUGAAUACGUUCCCGGGUCUUGUACACACCGCCCGUCACACCAUGGAAGUGGGGUUUACCAGAAGUAGUUAGCUUAACCGCAAGGGGGGCGAUUACCACGGUAGGCUUCAUGACUGGGGUGAAGUCGUAACAAGGUAGCCGUAUCGGAAGGUGCGGCUGGAUCACCUCCU
rnacentral:rRNA from 1 species